AGUCGAGCGAACAGAUAAGGAGCUUGCUCCUUUGACGUUAGCGGCGGACGGGUGAGUAACACGUGGGUAACCUACCUAUAAGACUGGGAUAACUUCGGGAAACCGGAGCUAAUACCGGAUAACAUUUGGAACCGCAUGGUUCUAAAGUGAAAGAUGGUUUUGCUAUCACUUAUAGAUGGACCCGCGCCGUAUUAGCUAGUUGGUAAGGUAACGGCUUACCAAGGCGACGAUACGUAGCCGACCUGAGAGGGUGAUCGGCCACACUGGAACUGAGACACGGUCCAGACUCCUACGGGAGGCAGCAGUAGGGAAUCUUCCGCAAUGGGCGAAAGCCUGACGGAGCAACGCCGCGUGAGUGAUGAAGGGUUUCGGCUCGUAAAACUCUGUUAUUAGGGAAGAACAAACGUGUAAGUAACUGUGCACGUCUUGACGGUACCUAAUCAGAAAGCCACGGCUAACUACGUGCCAGCAGCCGCGGUAAUACGUAGGUGGCAAGCGUUAUCCGGAAUUAUUGGGCGUAAAGCGCGCGUAGGCGGUUUCUUAAGUCUGAUGUGAAAGCCCACGGCUCAACCGUGGAGGGUCAUUGGAAACUGGGAAACUUGAGUGCAGAAGAGGAAAGUGGAAUUCCAUGUGUAGCGGUGAAAUGCGCAGAGAUAUGGAGGAACACCAGUGGCGAAGGCGACUUUCUGGUCUGUAACUGACGCUGAUGUGCGAAAGCGUGGGGAUCAAACAGGAUUAGAUACCCUGGUAGUCCACGCCGUAAACGAUGAGUGCUAAGUGUUAGGGGGUUUCCGCCCCUUAGUGCUGCAGCUAACGCAUUAAGCACUCCGCCUGGGGAGUACGACCGCAAGGUUGAAACUCAAAGGAAUUGACGGGGACCCGCACAAGCGGUGGAGCAUGUGGUUUAAUUCGAAGCAACGCGAAGAACCUUACCAAAUCUUGACAUCCUUUGAAAACUCUAGAGAUAGAGCCUUCCCCUUCGGGGGACAAAGUGACAGGUGGUGCAUGGUUGUCGUCAGCUCGUGUCGUGAGAUGUUGGGUUAAGUCCCGCAACGAGCGCAACCCUUAAGCUUAGUUGCCAUCAUUAAGUUGGGCACUCUAGGUUGACUGCCGGUGACAAACCGGAGGAAGGUGGGGAUGACGUCAAAUCAUCAUGCCCCUUAUGAUUUGGGCUACACACGUGCUACAAUGGACAAUACAAAGGGCAGCUAAACCGCGAGGUCAUGCAAAUCCCAUAAAGUUGUUCUCAGUUCGGAUUGUAGUCUGCAACUCGACUACAUGAAGCUGGAAUCGCUAGUAAUCGUAGAUCAGCAUGCUACGGUGAAUACGUUCCCGGGUCUUGUACACACCGCCCGUCACACCACGAGAGUUUGUAACACCCGAAGCCGGUGGAGUAACCAUUUAUGGAGCUAGC
rnacentral:rRNA from 1 species